AGUGUGAAUAUUUCGGCUUGUAUGGUCAUGAAAAAAUAUCAUCACAAAGUCAAUAUUUGUAGGAUUUUUGCAUGGUAAGUAUGAUUUUUAGAUUUGUCAUCAAAUACACAUUCGAUCGUAACUCAAAUCAUGAAGAAUAAACAUUUUCCAUGUGCUUUUCUGUCAUUCUUCGUUUGGUCGUUGAAGGGUUCGGACGUGUUUUUCGAAGCUCUCGACGUCGUGACCUAAUUAUAAUUUGAACUGCGCGGGUAAAGAACGCUCAUUUGCGGCUUGGACAUUGACCAAUACGGACGUGUUUUUAAAGCGCUCUGAAAAAAGUUUUGACUUUUAAAUUUUUUUUACUACGACAGAAUCUUAGUUGACUGAUGGUCUUUGACAAAGACAGACUUGUUUUUGUGAGCUCUGAAAAAAAUUUGACUUUGAAAUAUUUUUACGAUUAAAAAGUUUCAGUUGACUUUUGAACGUUGACGAAGACGGACGUACUUUCGUGAGCUCUGACUAUUGAUGAAAAGUUUUCGCGUUAUAGAAUAGCGACUUGGUACUCAGGUUGUUGAAUGACUGGAUGACUGAAGUGUUAGGUUAUUGUUAUGAGAUAACAACUUGACUUUGACUUGAGUUGUGAAAUGAAAUCAUACUCUUAUGCGAUGUUAACUUUUGAACGUUUAGUAUUGACUGACAACGAAAUUUUGUGAGCGUUAUAUAUGAAAUGUUUGACUUACAUUAAUUUUUUUGAACGACUUGACUUCACUUUAAGUUUUGACAUCGGACUGAUCGGACGUGUUUUUUUAAGCUCUGACUGUUGUGAAUAAUUAAAUUUAUGUUGUGGUGUCAAGCGAUUGACUGUCAGUUGAGGUUCAGAUGUCGAGCUGUGCGGACGUGUUCAUCGAGCUGCUGUCUACAAAAAACGUGAGUACAAAUUUUUUUCGUUUUACUGUUUACAAGUUGCGUGAUGAUGUAUGAUGGUUGUAAUGUGUUGGGUAGAAAUUACUCAGUGCUGAUACAGUGUCGAUAUGUUGUGAUGAGCGAUAAUAGUGGAUGAUGGUGGAACAGAAUAUUCAUUGAGCUAUUUUGAGGAAGCGAACAUAUGAUGGAAAAAUGUUGCAAAAAUAUUAAAUGCAUGUGCUUAUAUGUACUAAAUAUGAUAUUGCUUUACUUGUAUUUGCAUGCUGUUAACAUUUCUAUUUUAUUCCAGUGGGCUGUGGUGAGUAUUGCAGAUUUAACUUGUAUGUGUGGUUUUUAGUUAACGAUGCUUAAUGAAAACUGUUAUUGUACACUUAGUAUGGAAUGAUGUGAAUGAUGAUAUGAUGGGUAGAAUUAAUCAGUGCUUGUGUCUAGAAAUGCUGAAUGUUUAUUGAAAAGGCUAAAUGCUAGCCAGUACUAAGAGUUGAGCUACCGUGGGAAUGUGAAACGAACUGAUGGUGUAAUAUGAUGGUGUAUUGACAAACUUUUCUUAUAUGUACUAAAUAUGAUAUUGCUUUACUUGUAUUUGCAUGCUGUUAACAUUUCUAUUUUGUUCCAGUGUGCUGUGGUGAGUACUGUAGAUAUUACUUGAUUUUUAGUGUCUAUGAAUGCUGAUGUAUGAUAGCUAUAGCAUGAGCUCAAUGCUAACCAGUAUUAUGAGUUGAUGUAUUGUGGUGAUGCUAAUCGAACUGAUGAUGUAACAUGAUGGUGAACACUUACUGAAUGCAUAAAAUUUAUUGAAUUGCGUUUGUUGAUAUGCACUAUAAUAUGAUAAAUGUAUUGCUUAACAUGUAUAUUUCAUGAUGUUUAAUUUCAGUGGGCUGUGGUGAGUACUGUAGAUUGUAUUGCCUAUGUAUAGAAUUCAAUAAAAGAUUAUGACUGAAAACUGCUUUUGAUUCUUUUUGAACAGUUUUAGGGACUAUAAGUCUAUAACAAAAAUAUGUCGGUUGGCGUUCAUACAGCAAUGUUUUGAGUAGUACAGAAAUGUUUCUACGUUUGUGGUCGCCAGUUGUCUGUGAUGUGUAAAGUGAAAAAUACACGGAGCUUUGAAUACAACAAACAUUUACUGUUUUAACACAGAUUGUGUGCUAUGCAUUUUUCGAUGUAGAUCUUUUUCAGAUUUGACAUGAAAUGUAGACCUGACAUUUGAACAGAGCUGGGAAACGAAAAGGUAAGUUUGUUAAAUUUCACAAUGAACACUUGUGUUUUGACAAAAGAAGAGAUAAAGUGAGUUUUGUCAUCAUCAUGGUUUCUUUCAGAGUAUAACUCGUGAACAGAUGAAAACCUAUUUUUUGCUAGAUUUUCAUGUACUCUUUUUUUGGAUGAUAAGUAUGUCAGUAACUCAAAAUCAUACGGCUAGUACAGUAUGGAACAUGAAUGCUUUGUUCAGAUUUUCAGAUGUGUGCUGGCAGUUUAAGUCUGGCAGCUGAAGUGAACAGUCGUGUUUUCUGGAGCUCCAACAAUAUGCUAGAAGGUAAGUAACUAUGUUUGUUUUGCAUUGCAUGUUUUUAUAUGUUUCAGACUUUCAAGCAGAGAUGUCAUGCUGACUGGAGUUGAGCACAGGGCAGUGACAAAGUGAAAGGUAAGUACUUUUGACUGAAUGUUUGUUCUAUGCAUGUUUUGUUUCAAUACAUUUCAGGAGUGCUUAUCCAGUGAUGAUAUGACAGUUGGAGUGAACAGUGGAGCCAAGCAGUCUUGUUUUUGGAGCUACUCAACAAGCCUUGAAGGUGUACUUGCAGUUAGAGACGAAGACGAUUCAAGAAGAGGACCAUAGGUCAGAAAGUGGAUGGAACAUACAAAGGGUAAGUUGAACCUGUGUUUUUGUUUGAUUUUUACCAUGCAUACUUUGCUUUGCUCUGUUUCAGAUUUCACAUGCAGAAAUUAAACAGGAUUUCAACUGCUGAAACACAAUUCAUCAAAAGUAAGGUAAGUUUUAAUUCAUUGAUUUGAGUUGUACAAUGUGUUCUUUACUUUAUUUCAGAUUCGAGUCACUGGUUUACACAUGGAAGAAGAUUUCCACGUCUGUUACUCAACUCUACAGAAGCAAGGUAAGUCGAUCAAAUUUUUGUUUUAGUUUGUACUGCUGUAAUGUGAUGGUAAACUUAUGCUAUUUUUCAUGUGUGCUAUGCAGAGAUGGAGAAUUCAAUUUUAAGAAAGAUUAACUGCUGCAGCUUAGCUCUGCUCUGUGUUGAUUUUUGUUCAAAAACGUUUAAAAUGUAUGUGUGUUUGAAGAUGUUUUGUUUCAGUUGAUGUCCAGAUGGCAAGCAGUACAGACGUGUUUCUUGGAGCUGCCAAACAGUGAGUACAAACGUUUUAUAUUUUUCAGUUGUUUACUCAUAGAAGUCUGUGAAAGAUGAUAACAAGGGUUGAAUCUAUCAGCACUUGUGUCUAAAAAUGCUGAUGUGUGAUGGUUUACUGAAAGGGGUAAAUGCUAGCCAGUACUUACACUUGAGCAACCGUGGGAUGUCGAACUAACUGAUGAUGUACUAUGAUGGUGAACACUUACUUUGUGUAUCGAAAUGCUUUUGUUGAUAUUUACUAAAUAUUGAUUGACAUUUGUUUGCAUGCUGUUAACAUUUCUAUUUCAUUUCAGUUGGCUGUGGUGAGUAUUGUAAUAUACAUUUGUUUCAAUAAAUCAUGAUGAAUGAACACUGAUUUCGAUUCUUUUUUACAGUUUUAGGGAUUAUCACUCUAUAACAACUCUGUCGGUUGGUGUUCGUGAAUGUGAGCUUAAUGUUUGAGUAGUACAAAAAUGUCUUUACUUUUGUGAUCGCCAGUUGUCUGUGAUGUAAAGUGGAAAAAACACAGCUAUGAAGCAUACAAUUGUUUCAAUAUUUUAUCAAUGAUAGUGUGCUAUGCAUGUUUUGAUUUAGUUCGUUUCAGAUACGACAUGACAUGAAGAGUUGACAGUCGAACAGAGCUGAGCAAAGCAGAAAGGUAAGUGUGUUUCAUUUUAGUAUGGACACUUGUAUUUUGUUUUUAUAUGGUAUGUUUUGUGCAUGCUAUGUUUCAGGUGUACUUGUAGUCAGCGACGAAGACGAUUCAAGAAGAGGAACAUUGCUGAGAAAGUGAAUGGGACUUGCAAACAGGGUAAGUGUUACAAUUGUUUGUUUGAUUUUUACCAUGCAUACUUUGCUUUGCUCUGUUUCAGAUUUCACAUGCAGAAAUGGUCUCAUAGCAGUGCCAACAGUGAAUAAGGAUUUCAGCUGCUGUGAAACAACUCAACAGAAAGUAGGUAAGCAUUGAAUGAAUGCACUUGAGUUGUACAAUUUGAUGUGAUGCUUUUCUCUGUUUCAGAUUCAAGUUCCUGGUGUAGACAGAGAAAUGUGUUUGAAGAAGGAAUUCUACUACUGUGAUUCAACUCUACAGAAGCAAGGUAAGUAGAAACACAAUUUUGGUUUAAUUUAACUCAUGUGUUUUGCACUGCAUGCUAUUUUUCAGGUCUCUCAUGCAGUGAUGCAAAAGAAGAAGAUUUCAAGAAAGAAUCACUGCUGCAACUCAGGCCUAUAACAAGGUAAGUGUUUACUAUAUUGUAUACAAAAUGUUUCUCUGUUUUACUCUGUUUGAAGGUUUCAAUUGCAGAGAUGUUGCAGAGAUGUUUUGACAGCUUGUGACAGAAAAGAAAUUCAGCAGCUGUGUCUCGACUCUAGCCACGAGGUAAGUCAAAACAAAUAUACUGGUUUGUAUGUUAUGUUGUUAUGCCCUUCUAUGUUUCAGACUUACAUUGCUGUGACUGUUCCACAGUGGGUCAAAAAAGAGACGAAUACAGGUUUCAAGAAGAAAAUUGGCUGUUGAAAACCUGCACAAAAUAUGAGGUAAGUAAACUAUUCUUUUGGUUUGUUUUGUGCUUUGUUAUGCUUAACUAUUUUUCAGAUUGGAGUGGUGGGUCGUUACAGAGCAGACUUUUGGACAACUGAGAAGUUAAACAACAGAAAAUGAUUCAAGAUCAGCUAGGUAAGUCUUGAUUAUUAUGCAUUGCUAAAUGUUUUUUUCAUUCCAGUAUGGCUGUGGUAAGUACACAAACUUUCUAUAAUUUAAUAUUGAACUGUUUUUAUGACCUGUAUUCUGCAUUGUAAAAUGUCUGUUUUUCAUUUCAGUAUCCUGUGGUAAGUACACUAACUUUGUAUAAUUUCAUAUUGAAAUGUUUUGAUGACUUGUAUCCUGCUAUGCAAUGCUUAAUAUAUUUUUCAUUUCAGUGUGGCUGUGGUAAGUACACUAACUUUCUUUUCUUUUUCAUAUUGAACUGUUUUGGUGACUUGUAUUCUGCUAUACAAAAUGUGUUUUUUUCAUUUCAGUUGCCUGUGGUAAGUACAAUUGCCUUCUUUAAUUUUCAUAUUGAACUGUUUUGAUGACUUGUAUACUGCAUUGUAAAAUGUGUUUCUUUUUCAUUUCAGUAUGGCUGUGGUAAGUACAAUUGCCUUCUUUAAUUUUCAUAUUGAACUGUUUUGAUGACUUUUAUUCUGCCAUACAAAAUGUGUUUUUUUUCAUUUCAGUUGCCUGUUGGUAAGUACAAUUUGCUUUCUUUAAUUGCAUAUUGAAAUAUGUUUUAUGACUUUUAUUCUGCUAUGCUUUUUUCAUUUCAGUUUGGCAGAUGUAAGUACACUUCAUUUAUGUAAAAACUGAAUAUGAUUGUUGUGCUAUACAAAAUGUGCUUUUUUCAAUUUCAGGUCAGCAAUGGUAAGUAGAUUGUGUUUCUUUAUGUAUAAUUUUGUAUACAUAUUGUUUUUUUCAUCAUAGCAUGUCUUUUAUAUUUAUGCUUUGUGUAAGUAAAAUGUUCAUAAAUCAUUCUUAUCUUCAAACUAAAAAUGUAUUGUGCUAUGCAAAAUGUCUGUAUGAUUUCAGUUGCCAGAGGUGAGUACCAUUACAGUUGAAAAGUUAGUUUUGUUUAGUUAAAGUUUUGGUUCACAGUUCUGUUUAUUAUUUGGCAAAAUUUACAUGUAUGCAUUGAGUCUUGAUUUCAGCUCGAUUGUGGACUGAAGAAGAUUGCCAGCAGAGGGAUUGGAUACAAAAUACAAACUUUACUGCUGGACGAGUGUUCUCUACUACUAGACGUGUCAGGUUUACUACCAGGCGAGCAGUGACAACAAGGCGCCUUUGUGGAAACAACACAACAAAAAACUGUACUGCUAGACGAGCAGUGACAGAAAGGCGCCUGAACAUGCAACACAAAACAAAAAAUGCCAAUAUCCAAACCUUGAUGUGGACACCGAGUAGUCAAUACAUACGUGUGGCGUAUAGCUGCGACAAAACCGUGGGUCCAUCGCACCGAUAACUUGAACAUUGGCCCGUGUAUGGACAUCAGUGCAACUUUGUGAAUCCAUGUAACUUUGUGAAUCCAUGUAACAUUGCGAAUGUGUGUCGAUCGAAAAAUGUGUACAUUCUGCACUGAAACGAACUCGGUGUUGCAAGUGGCAAGUGUUGACAGUGUGUAUGUUUAUGUUUAUGUUUUUACAUGAAAACUAAAGGAGAUUGUUCUCCUACCUUUUUUUUCCUUGUUUUAUUGCGCUGGCCAGCAAUAUUGAUGUAUUGAUGUAUGUGUUUGUGUUUAAACUAUGCAAUACCAAAAUCAAACAAAAAAUAAACAUUAACAGUCAUUAACUGUGUUUGGGCGGCCGAGGGGUUUAAGACUCCACAAGUGUGAAGCGCACUGAUAGCACUUGGGGGUGAAUACCUCGGUAUUUCGGUGCUAAAAUGUUUUCACGGUGCUUAUCUUGACGCACUGUUAAGACUACCAACCAGUUAAUGAUUGCUUCAUCUUUAAACAAAAAGUAAGUCUCUACUUUGGCACAAGAGACUCCAAGUACCAAAUACCAACAAUUAAAAAGCAGACGUUUUUCAAAACUAUGAUCGCUGAGAUUGAUAGUCAGAUGGAGUCCUGCCCAUUUAGCUGUGUAGCGGUCUAGGGCGGGG